CAGCCGCCGCGGUAAUACGAAGGGGGCUAGCGUUGCUCGGAAUGACUGGGCGUAAAGGGCGCGUAGGCGGUGGCCAAAGUCAGGCGUGAAAUUCCUGGGCUCAACCUGGGGGCUGCGCUUGAUACUUGGUUGCUUGAGUGGGGAAGAGGGUCGUGGAAUUCCCAGUGUAGAGGCGAAAUUCGUAGAUAUUGGGAAGAACACCGGUGGCGAAGGCGGCGACCUGGUCCUUGACUGACGCUGAGGCGCGAAAGCGUGGGGAGCAAACAGGAUUAGAUACCCCCGUAGUCCCUGUCUCUUAUAC
rnacentral:rRNA from 1 species